GAGUUUGAUCAUGGCUCAGGAUGAACGCUGGCGGCGUGCUUACGACAUGCAAGUCGAACGAAGCUCUUGUAGCAAUACGGGAGUUGAGUGGCGAAUGGGUGCGUAACACGUAGGUGACCUGCCCUGAAGCGGGGAAUAACAGUUCGAAAGGACUGCUAAUACCGCAUGUGGUUGUGGUCUUUUGAAAGCCAUAACGAAAGGUUUCCGUAAGGAGAUCACUUCAGGAGGGGCCUGCGGCCCAUCAGCUAGUUGGUAGGGUAAUGGCCUACCAAGGCAACGACGGGUAGGGGACCUCAGAGGGUGACCCCCCACACUGGCACUGACACACGGGCCAGACUCCUACGGGAGGCAGCAGUCGGGAAUAUUGCCCAAUGGUCGAAAGACUGAGGCAGCAACGCCGCGUGCGCGAUGAAGGCCUUCGGGUCGUAAAGCGCUUUUCGGGUGGAUGAGGAAGGACAGUACACCCGGAAUAAGGAACGGCUAACUACGUGCCAGCAGCCGCGGUAAAACGUAGGUUCCGAGCGUUAUCCGGAUUUACUGGGCGUAAAGCGCGUUCAGGCGGUUUGGCAAGUCGGGCAUGAAAUCUCUCGGCUCAACCGGGAGAGGUUGUCCGAUACUGCUGGACUUGAGG
rnacentral:rRNA from 1 species